rnacentral:rRNA from 1 species
UUAAACAACUCUCGGCAACGGAUAUCUGGGCUCUCGCAUCGAUGAAGAACGUAGAAAAAUGCGAUACUUGGUGUGAAUUGCAGAAUCCCAUGAACCAUCAUGUUUUUGAACGCAAGUUGCGCACGAAGCCAUUAGGCUGAAAGCACAUCUUCCUGGGCGUCUC